GUAGGUGGCAAGCGUUGUCCGGAUUUAUUGGGCGUAAAGCGAGUGCAGGCGGUUUCAUAAGUCUGAUGUGAAAGCCUUCGGCUCAACCGGAGAAUUGCAUCAGAAACUGUUGAACUUGAGUGCAGAAGAGGAGAGUGGAACUCCAUGUGUAGCGGUGGAAUGCGUAGAUAUAUGGAAGAACACCAGUGGCGAAAGCGGCUCUCUGGUCUGUAACUGACGCUGAGGUUCGAAAGCGUGGGUAGCAAA
rnacentral:rRNA from 1 species